rnacentral:rRNA from 1 species
AUUGAACGCUGGCGGCAGGCCUAACACAUGCAAGUCGAGCGGAUGAAGAGAGCUUGCUCUCUGAUUUAGCGGCGGACGGGUGAGUAAUGCCUAGGAAUCUGCCUGGUAGUGGGGGAUAACGUUCCGAAAGGAACGCUAAUACCGCAUACGUCCUACGGGAGAAAGCAGGGGACCUUCGGGCCUUGCGCUAUCAGAUGAGCCUAGGUCGGAUUAGCUAGUUGGUGAGGUAAUGGCUCACCAAGGCGACGAUCCGUAACUGGUCUGAGAGGAUGAUCAGUCACACUGGAACUGAGACACGGUCCAGACUCCUACGGGAGGCAGCAGUGGGGAAUAUUGGACAAUGGGCGAAAGCCUGAUCCAGCCAUGCCGCGUGUGUGAAGAAGGUCUUCGGAUUGUAAAGCACUUUAAGUUGGGAGGAAGGGCAUUAACCUAAUACGUUAGUGUUUUGACGUUACCAACAGAAUAAGCACCGGCUAACUUCGUGCCAGCAGCCGCGGUAAUAC